rnacentral:rRNA from 1 species
GAUCUACCUGAACGUGGGGGAUAACGUAGGGAAACUUACGCUAAUACCGCAACGUCCUACGGGAGAAAGCAGGGGACCUUCGGGCCUUGCGCGGUCAGACGAACCGAUGUUCGAUUAGCUAGUUGGUAAGGUAAUGGCUUACCAAGGCGACGAUCGAUAGCUGGUCUGAGAGGAUGAUCAGCCACACUGGGACUGAGACACGGCCCAGACUCCUACGGGAGGCAGCAGUGGGGAAUAUUGGACAAUGGGCGCAAGCCUGAUCCAGCAAUGCCGCGUGUGUGAAGAAGGCCCUCGGGUUGUAAAGCACUUUUAUCAGGAACGAAAUACCACGGGCUAAUACCCUAUGGGGCUGACGGUACCUGAGGAAUAAGCACCGGCUAACUUCGUGCCAGCAGCCGCGGUAAUACGAAGGGUGCAAGCGUUAAUCGGAAUUACUGGGCGUAAAGGGUGCGUAGGCGGUUGUUUAAGUCUGUCGUGAAAUCCCCGGGCUCAACCUGGGAAUGGCGAUGGAUACUGGACAGCUAGAGUGUGUCAGAGGAUGGUGGAAUUCCCGGUGUAGGGUGAAAUGCGUAGAGAUCGGGAGGAACAUCAGUGGCGAAGGCGGCCAUCUGGGACAACAC